rnacentral:tRNA from 1 species
GUUACUUUGGCAGAUUAGUGCGAUUGAUUUAGAAUCUUUAUAUGUAAAGUUUUACAGGUAAUA